rnacentral:rRNA from 1 species
UAAGGAAUAUUGGUCAAUGGAGGGAACUCUGAACCAGCCAUGCCGCGUGCAGGAAGACGGCCCUCUGGGUUGUAAACUGCUUUUAUUCGGGAAUAAACCACAUUACGUGUAGUGUGCUGAAUGUACCGAAGGAAUAAGGAUCGGCUAACUCCGUGCCAGCAGCCGCGGUAAUACGGAGGAUCCAAGCGUUAUCCGGAUUUAUUGGGUUUAAAGGGUGCGUAGGCGGCUUAUUAAGUCAGGGGUGAAAGACGGUGGCUCAACCAUCGCAGUGCCCUUGAUACUGAUGAGCUUGAAUGGACUAGAGGUAGGCGGAAUGUGACAAGUAGCGGUGAAAUGCAUAGAUAUGUCACAGAACACCGAUUGCGAAGGCAGCUUACUAUGGUUUAAUUGACGCUGAGGCACGAAAGCGUGGGGAUCAAACA